rnacentral:rRNA from 1 species
GAUGAACGCUAGCGGCAGGCUUAAUACAUGCAAGUCGAGGGGCAGCGCGGGUAGCAAUACCUGGCGGCGACCGGCAAACGGGUGCGGAACACGUACGCAACCUUCCCAUAACUGGUGAAUAGCCCUCCGAAAGGAGGAUUAAUACACCGUAACAUAACGAAGAGGCAUCUUUUUGUUAUUAUAGUAGCAAUACGGCUUUGGAUGGGCGUGCGCCUGAUUAGGUAGUUGGCGGGGUAACGGCCCACCAAGCCUGCGAUCAGUAACUGGUGUGAGAGCACGACCAGUCAAACGGGAACUGGGACACGGGCCCGACUCCUACGGGAGGCAGCAGUAAGGAAUAUUGGUCAAUGGACGAAAGUCUGAACCAGCCAUGCCGCGUGAAGGAUUAAGGCCCUCUGGGUUGUAAACUUCUUUUAUCUGGGACGAAAAAAGGGCAUUCUUGCUCACUUGACGGUACCAGAGGAAUAAGCACCGGCUAACUCCGUGCCAGCAGCCGCCGUAA